rnacentral:rRNA from 1 species
AGUCGCAGGGUACAUGAGGAAAGCUUGCUUUCCUUGAUGACGACUGGCGCACGGGUGAGUAACGCGUAUCCAACCUUCCCAUAACUACGGGAUAACCCGUUGAAAGACGGCCUAAUACCGUAUGACAUCGUUUGCUGACAUCGAAUAACGAUUAAAGGUUUAGCGGUUAUGGAUGGGGAUGCGUCUGAUUAGCUUGUUGGCGGGGUAACGGCCCACCAAGGCUACGAUCAGUAGGGGUUCUGAGAGGAAGGUCCCCCACAUUGGAACUGAGACACGGUCCAAACUCCUACGGGAGGCAGCAGUGAGGAAUAUUGGUCAAUGGGCGAGAGCCUGAACCAGCCAAGUAGCGUGCAGGAAGACGGCCCUAUGGGUUGUAAACUGCUUUUAUGUGGGGAUAAAGUGCGCGACGUGUCGUGCAUUGCAGGUACCACAUGAAUAAGGACCGGCUAAUUCCGUGCCAGCAGCCGCGGUAAUACGGAAGGUCCGGGCGUUAUCCGGAUUUAUUGGGUUUAAAGGGAGCGUAGGCUGUCUAUUAAGCGUGUUGUGAAAUUUACCGGCUCAACCGGUGGCUUGCAGCGCGAACUGGUCGACUUGAGUAUGCAGGAAGUAGGCGGAAUUCAUGGUGUAGCGGUGAAAUGCUU